AGGGACAGUCUAAUGGAUAAGAUGAAAACCUCCCAUGUGGAGAAUUGCAGCAUUAUUGAGGGUCUACAGUCAGAGCUAUCAAGAUUGCAAGAACAUUCAAAGCAAGCUCUUUUAAGGUUUGACAGGCCCUUCAGCAGCCUGCACAGCCUGCACGGGCGCAGCGGCGAGUCAGCCAACCACCGCUCCCUGCACACCGAGAUCCAGGACAUGCAGCAGCCACAUUAUGCUAGUGUGGAGGAAAUGAGAAUGCCCUCUCUGCACAUCCAGAAAGAUGGCCUUCACAGCAUCAUCCAUCGCAUCAAGACUGCUGAGCUAGCUCACUGUCUUCACACCAACUACGCUGAUCGGGACUCUUUUUCCAGUGAAAACCAGGAAAGGCCCUAUGCUCAGAGCCCACUGCAACAGGCGAGCAUCAAGCAGCAGCUUGUCAAUGUGCUGCGGGAACUGGAGCUGCCAAGGUCUGCGUGGGAAGACAAAGGGGACAAGGUGCAGGAUCUGGGGCAGAACCAGACCAAGCCGAAGACGCAUAGCCAGAGCCCGGCCCUGGCCCCGGCUCCAGGAGCCAGGAACGUUGCUGUGGUGAACUUGUGGAGAGCGUUGAACGUUGAGGGAACAAAGACCAGGACGAGCAGGGAUGAGGACAGCCACUCCUGCCAGGCCCUGUGUGAGGCACGGACCAAACUUCAGCAGGCGGAACGGACCAUCGGUGAAAUGAAGGUGCAUCUCCGACACCUGCAAGCCGCUUUAAAGACUGAGCAAGAGCAUGUGAUCGAGUGUCAGACGACCCAUGCGAAGACGGCAUCGCCGGUACUUCACCCGAGAGACGAGGAGACCAACACGGACACAGAGAGCAGGACAGAGGCCCCACUGCUACUUAACACCAGAGACGAGGAGACCAACACGGACACAGAGAGCAGGACAGAGGCCCCACUGGUACUUAACACCAGAGACGAGGAGACCAACACGGACACAGAGAGCAGGAAAGAGGCUGCUCUGGUACUUAACACCAGAGACAAGGAGACCAACACGGACACUGAGAGCAGGACAGAGGCUGCUCUGGUACUUAACACCAGAGACGAGGAGACCAACACAGACCCAGAGAGCAGGACAGAGGCCCCUCCGGUCCAGGAACUAGUCAGGGCCAGGGAGGUAAAGGAUGCGGC
ensembl:lncRNA